UCCCUGGUGGUUCAGUGGUUAAGACUCUGUGCUUCCAAUGCAGGGGCCACUGGUUUGAUCCCUGGUCAGGGAA
rnacentral:tRNA from 1 species